GGACGAUUGAAGACCUUCCGUCUAUUUACGGAAGAAAUGUGACAUUUUUCUGCAAUACAUCAGCAGUAGGUUUAGGGAAAACAACAUGGAUGAAACAAUCUGAUGUUAUUCUCCAUCAAGGUCUCUCCUUUUAUUCAGACAAAUACACUGGAAAGGAAGUAAAUGAUGGUUCCUCUCUAACAAUAAAGAAUAUCUCCGAAUCAGAUUUGAAUACAACAUACACGUGUUUGUCAGAUGUGUAUUCGUACGAAGCAGUUGUGAUGAUAAACAGUUCCAAUUUCAUUUGUUUGCCGCAAAAUAUAGACAUUACGUGGAACAUAAGUGAUAGAAAUAUCAUUGUACAUUUGAAUAUAGAAAGAUUCUUUCCAGUGCCAAAAUGCCGAACCAUGUUUAAUGGUGAUAUUCUUAGUGCACACCAGCAAGAAUUAAUCCUUCUGCAAGGUGCAUUUUUUCAUGGUACAGUAAAUAUUACGUCACAGUCUGCUGUUGACCUAUGUGGUGGCAACCUGACAGUUGUGUGCACGUUUGGAGGUUCAUAUGAUGGUGCUAUUGAAACUAAAUAUCUGCAAGAUUGCAAUGAUACAGUGUCAUUUCUUCAAGAUUCUGACUCUCCUGGAUAUGUUUUCGGAUUCAAAGGGGCCGUCAUUGGUUUGUGUAUACCGUGUGUAAUCGUGUGUUUUCUUUGCGUUUUUUAUCACUGCAAGAAAAGAGGAAAAGGGGUCCAAGAAGGCAAGUAUGAAUGCUACAAAAUCAAUCAACUGUGUAACUAUACAUUGUGACCGGCAAUAAUCAGAACAGAAGUGUUUGUACAUAGGAAGUAAAACCAUUAAAAAAUGUUAUGGCACGAA